rnacentral:lncRNA from 1 species
AACAAGUUGAUUAAAUUUUUUGAGACUCCUUUUCCUUGUAUAUCAGAUGAAAUAGGAAUAAUAAUAGCCAACUUACAGCCAUUUUCAGCUGGGGCUGAAUUUAAGGCGACAAUCCCAGGGAAGAUCUGCAGCCACGUGUCUUCUCAAACCCAAAAGGGGACCAGAGUCUGAUCAAGUCAUUCUUCUUCAAACCCUUUGGUGACUCUCCAGCUGCUCUUAGGACAAAGACUAAGUUCCUUCUCAAGGCCUUCCAGGCCCUGCAGAUCUGUCCUUACUCAUCUCUCCAUGCCUCCUGACUCACCACAUUCCGGCCACCCUGACCUUCUGCCGCUGUCUUGAGCAUGCUGCCUCCUCUGCCAAGAAUAGGCCCCUCUCCCGGCCCUUCACUGCCUAACCCCUUCAGGUCCCAACGGAAGUGUCAUUCUCUUAAGGAAGAUUUACUGCACUUCCAGACUGGAUGAGGUUCCCUAGUCAUAUGAUCUCAUGGAAACCUCUGCUUUUCUUCAUAGACAUCAUAUUGUUAUGAACUCAUUAUUUUUGUGAUUCCAUUUAAUGUCUAUCCCUUCUAGACAUUAAGUUUCAUGAGGGCAGUGACCCUGUCAUCCUUUCUCAUGGCUGACAGUCCCUGGAGCUUAGCGGGACUGGGCAUAGAAGCUUGCUUCAUAAAUAUUUGUUGGAUGGAUAAGUGGAGUAGUGGGCGGAUAGAUGCUGUUUUAGUCUAGUGGCGCCCAGUUUGGAUCUCUGCAAGAUCCCUCUGGGGAAUGUGGGUCAUUCUGAGAGACAGAUGGGUUACAAACAGCAAUACUCUGAAGAGUAGAGGACAAAUAAAAUGUAUUGACGGAAGGAAGGCCUUCUCACCACAUUCACAGGGUUUGUCAGCACUCAGGCAACUCCCUCAACAAAGGACACACAUACACUGCCAGUGGUGGAGAUGAAAUAACCCCAGGGCAAGGGCUGCCCUCCCCUGAGAGGCUGGCCCUCCCCUGUCCAAUACAGUAUAGCCACUAGCCACAUGUGGCUAUCAAGCCCUUGAAAUGUGGCCAGUGUGACCAAGGAACUGAUUUUUAAAUGUUAUUUCAUUCUGUGAUUGACAUUGAAGUUUAAAAACUAAUCCUUAAUUUGGUUAUUAGAAAAAAUUAGUAUGUUUGGAACAACUUGGCUAGGUGAAACUACUUUUUCCACUGUAAAUUUUAGGAAGUCUAAAUGUGGAUUAGGUAUUUCUUAAUGAAAAUUUGGCACCCUAUUUGAAGUGUAGCAUAUACCAAAUUUCAAAGACAGUACCCAAAAAAGGCA